rnacentral:lncRNA from 1 species
CCUUCAACAAAAUGUGUGAAAAUGGACGACACUUGAGGUUUCAGGGCAUGACCUGUGGAAAUAGAAAGAGGGUCAAGUCCCUCAACUCAAAGCCAAGUAGACCUCUGUCUUUUGGACAAUACAGUUAAAAGAAACCACUGAUGUCAGAUAUUCACACAUUUGGUCUCACUUAGCCCGCCCAUCUCCUCCCCAUCUCCUCCAGGACUCCAACAGGGCAGCAGUCACAUUUAUUUGGGUUUGGGAACAAAAAAGGAGGAAAAUGAAUGGUAACGUGAAUAACUUGACAAGUAACGAGUAGGCUGGCUGCGACAGGGACAAUAAAUCAGUGGCUUGACACGGCUAUAUCAGUCUUCCUCAGCCACCACACGUUUUGGUUCGUUUCCGAUCGGACACAGAAAGCGCCCAUGGACAAGCAGAAACGAGGGUCUGGAGCUGAUGGGAUGGUUAUCAAUCACAGCAGGAUAGAGUCCUGAGUCACGGAGACUGAACAAGUCAUUCCUUCCCCUCGGUCUCAGUCUCUUCAUCACUUCGUUUCCUCAUUGUUUCCAUUUGAAAUGUGACUGUGGAUCUUUAGGUGUCCUGCAGCCAUCAGUCUUUAAUUAAAUACUCAGUGACCAAAAAGAGAGGGUGAUCAUACAUAGUGGGUCAAUUCUUCCCGCUCUCUUUAAUGCGCAUUUAAUUGCCCUUCUCAUCUAACUAGCGUAUUGAGAUACGUGGCCCUGUAUUUUAUACUACUGUCCCAUUCUGAAAUACAGCAGACCCCUUCACUCAGCAGACAGGGUGAUUCAAAAAGGAAGACAAGGCACUAAUAAGCCCAAGAAGGUGUCCCAUCAGAGCCCUGACUGAGGUUAAGAUAUUAAUCUAAUAAGGUGUCCCAUCAUAGAGCCCUGACUGAGGUUAAGAUAUUAAUCUAAUAAGGUGUCCCAUCAUAGAGCCC